rnacentral:rRNA from 1 species
AGUGAACGCUGGCGGUAGGCCUAACACAUGCAAGUCGAACGGCAGCACAGUAAGAGCUUGCUCUUACGGGUGGCGAGUGGCGGACGGGUGAGGAAUACAUCGGAAUCUACUUUUUCGUGGGGGAUAACGUAGGGAAACUUACGCUAAUACCGCAUACGACCUACGGGUGAAAGCAGGGGAUCUUCGGACCUUGCGCGAUUGAAUGAGCCGAUGUCGGAUUAGCUAGUUGGCGGGGUAAAGGCCCACCAAGGCGACGAUCCGUAGCUGGUCUGAGAGGAUGAUCAGCCACACUGGAACUGAGACACGGUCCAGACUCCUACGGGAGGCAGCAGUGGGGAAUAUUGGACAAUGGGCGCAAGCCUGAUCCAGUCAUACCGCGUGGGUGAAGAAGGCCUUCGGGUUGUAAAGCCCUUUUGUUGGGAAAGAAAAGCAGCAGGUUAAUACCCCGCUGUUCUGACGGUACCCAAAGAAUAAGCACCGGCUAACCUCGUG